rnacentral:lncRNA from 1 species
UAAUACUAAAUUCUAUAAUAGUACAUAGAAAUGACAUGGAAAAAUAGAAAUGACAUGGAAAAUACAAACACACACAUAAAGCAACACCCUAUUACACAAACUUUGCGAACAAAUUUAUUGAGUCCAUGGCUGAACUAACAAAUUAUAAAAGAGUUAUGAUUUCUGUCUAAAAGCCUCUGAGCACUUCGAUUUUGUACUCUGCUUCAGAGCUCCACCCGUCAUUGUUGGAAAUGGCGACCCUAUCACCCACUCGAACGCGAUUGUUCCGAACGAAGUGCACCCAAUGACCCGACAAGACCCGUUUGUUCCUCGACUUAACCUUGUAUUUGAAUGUCCAUAACAACCCUUGUUCGUCUUUGACUGUCAUUGCACCACCACUUGCCGCAGAGGGGAAUGGCUCAGCAUUGAAUCUAUCAGUAAUCGUCAGUUGGUUGAUGUCAUCUCCAUCAAUCGUCUUUUCGAAAAUUGCCAUAGCUGCUUGUUACAAAUCCUUGGACAAACUUAGCUUUGAUAAUUAAGGUUGUUGAAUAUAAGAACUUUU